CCCUAGUACGGCGAGUGAGCGGGAAGAGCUCAAAUUUGAAAUCUGGUGGCCUCAGGUCAUCCGAGUUGUAAUCUAUAGAAGUGUUUUCCGUGCUGGCUCAUGUACAAGUCCCUUGGAACAGGGCGUCAUAGAGGGUGAGAAUCCCGUCCUUGACAUGAACUACCAGUGCUCUGUGAUACAUUUUCAACGAGUCGAGUUGUUUGGGAAUGCAGCUCAAAAUGGGUGGUAAAUUCCAUCUAAAGCUAAAUAUUGGCGAGAGACCGAUAGCGAACAAGUACCGUGAGGGAAAGAUGAAAAGCACUUUGGAAAGAGAGUUAAACAGUAUGUGAAAUUGUUGAAAGGGAAACGAUUGAAGUCAGUCGUGCUCUUUGGAUUCAGCCGGUUCUGCCGGUGUACUUCCUUUGAGUGGGGUCAACAUCAGUUUUGAUCGCUGGAUAAAGGCGGGAGGAAUGUAGUACCCUCGGGUAAACUUAUAGCCUCUUGUCACAUACAGUGGUUGGGACUGAGGAACGCAGCAUGCCUUUAUGGCCGGGAUUCGUCCACGUACAUGCUUAGGAUGUUGACAUAAUGGCUUUAAACGACCCGUCUUGAAACACGGACCA
rnacentral:rRNA from 1 species